AGAAGAAGAGAAGUAAAAAACCCACGAAGAAGAAUUUUGUUGAGCCUCGUGAAGCGGGAAUUGACAGCAAUACUAUGGACUGGGGUCAGAAUGAGCUGCCGUCUCCGGUGGUUCGAGACGACGAGGUGACCGUCGCUGCCCGUAGAAGGUCAAUGAGGAAGAAGGUGUUCUUCCCGUCCCCCGACAGCAGCCCCAUCGCCUCCACCGUCACACCAGCUCGCUCCAUGAUGAGGAACACUCCGGCUUCACUGUUCAGACAGGCU